CCCUUAGAUGUCCGGGGCUGCACGCGCGCUACACUGACUGGCUCAGCGUGUGCCUACCCUACGCCGGCAGGCGCGGGUAACCCGUUGAACCCCAUUCGUGAUGGGGAUCGGGGAUUGCAAUUAUUCCCCAUGAACGAGGAAUUCCCAGUAAGUGCGGGUCAUAAGCUUGCGUUGAUUAAGUCCCUGCCCUUUGUACACACCGCCCGUCGCUACUACCGAUUGAGUGGUCCGGUGAGGCUUUGGGAUCUGAGCGGAAAGAGCGUUUCGCUGUUUCUGCUCGGAAAACUCAGUCGAACCUUAUCAUUUAGAGGAAGGAGAAGUCGUAACA
rnacentral:rRNA from 1 species